UACGUAGGGUGCGAGCGUUGUCCGGAAUUAUUGGGCGUAAAGAGCUCGUAGGCGGCUUGUCACGUCGGUUGUGAAGCCCGGGGCUUAACCCCGGGUCUGCAGUCGAUACGGGCAGGCGUAGAGUUCGGUAGGGGAGAGUCGGAAUUCCUGGUGUGAGCGGUGGAAAUGACGCAGAUAUCAGGAGGAACACCGGUGGCGAAGGCGGAUCUCUGGGCCGAUACUGACGCUGAGGAGCGAAAGCGUGGGGAGCGAACAGG
rnacentral:rRNA from 1 species